rnacentral:rRNA from 1 species
GAAUGGGGAAACCCAGUGUGACUCGUCACACUAUCAUUAACUGAAUCCAUAGGUUAAUGAGGCGAACCGGGGGAACUGAAACAUCUAAGUACCCCGAGGAAAAGAAAUCAACCGAGAUUCCCCCAGUAGCGGCGAGCGAACGGGGAGGAGCCCAGAGCCUGAAUCAGCAUGUGUGUUAGUGGAAGCGUCUGGAAAGGCGCGCGAUACAGGGUGACAGCCCCGUACACAAAAGCGCAUGUGCUGUGAGCUCGAUGAGUAGGGCGGGACACGUGGUAUCCUGUCUGAAUAUGGGGGGACCAUCCUCCAAGGCUAAAUACUCCUGACUGACCGAUAGUGAACCAGUACCGUGAGGGAAAGGCGAAAAGAACCCCGGCGAGGGGAGUGAAAAAGAACCUGAAACCGUGUACGUACAAGCAGUGGGAGCACAGGUUUACCUGU